GUGGGGAAUAUUGCACAAUGGGCGAAAGCCUGAUGCAGCGACGCCGCGUGAGGGAUGACGGCCUUCGGGUUGUAAACCUCUUUCAGUAGGGAAGAAGCGAAAGUGACGGUACCUGCAGAAGAAGCGCCGGCUAACUACGUGCCAGCAGCCGCGGUAAUACGUAGGGCGCAAGCGUUGUCCGGAAUUAUUGGGCGUAAAGAGCUCGUAGGUGGUUUGUCGCGUCUGGUGUGAAAACUCACGGCUCAACCGUGGGCUUGCAUCGGGUACGGGCAGACUAGAGUGCGGUAGGGGAGACUGGAAUUCCUGGUGUAGCGGUGGAAUGCGCAGAUAUCAGGAGGAACACCGAUGGCGAAGGCAGGUCUCUGGGCCGCAACUGACGCUGAGGAGCGAAAGCAUGGGGAGCGAACAGGAUUAGAAACCCCGGUAGUCC
rnacentral:rRNA from 1 species